UACGGAGGGGGCUAGCGUUGUUCGGAAUUACUGGGCGUAAAGCGCGCGUAGGCGGUCCUGCAAGUCGGGGGUGAAAGCCCGAGGCUCAACCUCGGAACUGCCUUCGAUACUGCGGGUCUCGAGUCCGGGAGAGGUGAGUGGAAUUCCUAGUGUAGAGGUGAAAUUCGUAGAUAUUAGGAAGAACACCAGUGGCGAAGGCGGCUCACUGGGCCGGUACUGACGCUGAGGCGCGAAAGCGUGGGGAGCGAACAGG
rnacentral:rRNA from 1 species